CUGGCAUUUUGAGCUCUGUUGAUGUAUUACAUGUUAAAGUGGCAUUGUCAUCAGAUUGUCACAGUGGAGGUGGCCAUCUUUAAAUUGCAUUGAGAUUUUAGUAAGAUAUUUACUAAAACAUGAGGUUGUUUAGAGCAAUCAGAAUACGUGCUGUAUCUGCCUGGAAAUGGGUGUAAGGGUGCCGAGUACCCGCUGUGCCCAAGGUUAUCCACAAAUCUGUCUUUUAAUUCUUUUCGAUGAAAGUAAGCUGUAGGCAGUGUUUUAUGAUGAUACUGUCACUUUGGUGGUAUCUGGUUUACUAAACUUCCAACUGAGGAUAGCUGUAAAGGGAAGUGCAAAAUUCAGG